rnacentral:rRNA from 1 species
UGGGGAAUAUUGCACAAUGGGGGGAACCCUGAUGCAGCCAUGCCGCGUGUAUGAAGAAGGCCUUCGGGUUGUAAAGUACUUUCGGUAAUGAGGAAGGGGUAUAAUUUAAUAGAUUAUAUCAUUGACGUUAAUUACAGAAGAAGCACCGGCUAACUCCGUGCCAGCAGCCGCGGUAAUACGGGGGGUGCGAGCGUUAAUCGGAAUGACUGGGCGUAAAGGGCAUGUAGGCGGAUGAUUAAGUUAGGUGUGAAAGCCCCGGGCUCAACCUGGGAAUUGCACUUAAAACUGGUCGUCUGGAGUAUUGUAGAGGAAGGUAGAAUUCCAUGUGUAGCGGUGAAAUGCGUAGAGAUGUGGAGGAAUACCGGUGGCGAAGGCGGCCUUCUGGACAGAUACUGACGCUGAGAUGCGAAAGCGUGGGGAGCAAACA